UACGGGGGGUGCAAGCGUUGUUCGGAAUUACUGGGCGUAAAGGGUUCGUAGGUGGCCAACUAAGUCAGACGUGAAAUCCCUCAGCUUAACUGGGGAACUGCGUCUGAGACUGGAUGGCUCGAGUGCAGGAGAGGAACGCGGAAUUCCAGGUGUAGCGGUGAAAUGCGUAGAUAUCUGGAGGAACACCGGUGGCGAAGGCGGCGUUCUGGACUGCAACUGACACUGAUGAACGAAAGCCAGGGGAGCAAACGGG
rnacentral:rRNA from 1 species